GAAGAGGGAGAGAGUCGGCGUUGGGGGGAGAAGAGAAGGAGGGAGAGAGGGCACUGUCGUUCAUCAGCUCGAGGCAUGGUGGCGGUAGUUGGCGGAAGAGCUGGCGGCGCGACAACACGAAGUGAAGGAAAAAAAGGGGGGGAGAGUUGAUGCAGCGGUUGUCCGGUGUUAUUCAUGGCGUUUCCGGUGUCGGUAGCCAUUGUUUUUGGUGGCGAUCGACUCCCCUCGGUCUUUGCUUUGUUUUAGCGGCAGCGGUGUCAACUGUGGUGGCCGGAGACGGAAGAUCCGGUGGAGAGAGAAAGUAGGGGCAGUUGGCAUUUUCUAGUUUUUUCGACGAGCUUUGGCUGAUCGGAGGACAUAUCUAGACUCCCCUCAGCUCAAGCUUCGCAGUGGCACCGGUUUCAUGGCGAUCGAACUCCGUUUGUAAAUCGACGGCCGAAAUCGUCCGCAAAUCUCUAUGGAUGAUCAGUG
rnacentral:lncRNA from 1 species